UCCGGUGGCGAUGCCGAAGGGGUAACACCCGUUCUUAUUCCGAAUACGGAAGUAAAGCCCUUCAGGGCCGAUGAUACCAUGACCGCAAGGUCAUGGGAAAGCAGGACGCUGCUGGAU
rnacentral:rRNA from 1 species